rnacentral:rRNA from 1 species
CCUACGGGAGGCAGCAGUAGGGAAUAUUGCUCAAUGGGGGAAACCCUGAAGCAGCAACGCCGCGUGGAGGAUGAAGGUUUUCGGAUUGUAAACUCCUUUUGUUAGAGAAGAUAAUGACGGUAUCUAACGAAUAAGCACCGGCUAACUCCGUGCCAGCAGCCGCGGUAAUACGGAGGGUGCAAGCGUUACUCGGAAUCACUGGGCGUAAAGAGCGCGUAGGCGGGAUAGCAAGUCAGAUGUGAAAUCCUAUGGCUUAACCAUAGAACUGCAUUUGAAACUGUUAUUCUAGAGUAUGGGAGAGGUAGGUGGAAUUCUUGGUGUAGGGGUAAAAUGCGUAGAGAUCAAGAGGAAUACUGAUUGCGAAGGCGACCUGCUAGAACAUAACUGACGCUGAUGUGCGAAAGCGUGGGGAGCAAACAGGAUUAGAUACCCGAGUAGUC